CCCCCUACGCCCUAGCCCUCUCCUCUGUGUGUUAAUUGUUGGUGAUUUCUUAGAAAAUAGAAUCGGUUCCAGUAACCGAUCAUGAUAAGGGUGAAGUAGAGUGCAUAAUUCUAUUUUUGGUAAUUGAAUGAUUAGGGUAGUGUUCAGUUGCAGUUUUUAUGACAUAUAAUUGAUCACAAGAUAUUUCCUCAAUGGGGGGAGCUUGUUCUAGGAAGAGAGAUCAAUUGGACAAUGUAGAUAAUUUUCAUAGUCGGAGUGCUAGAAGAUAUAGCAAAAGUGCAAGCUCAAAGUGGUCGGCAACUUCAUUUUCUAGACCUGCUUGUGAGCAGCGGGGGAAUCAAAGAUGUCCAUCCCUCAUGGAAUUGUGCAUCCAAAACAUUUGUGAGGACAUAGAUAAUUACAGUACAUUUUCAAUGCUUCCAAGGGACAUCAGUCAGCAGAUUUUCAAUGAAUUAGUGUAUUCUCAACGUUUGACUGAUAUUUCUCUUAAAUCCUUUCGAGAUUGUGCUCUCCAGGAUCUUCACUUGGGAGAAUGCCCUGG
rnacentral:misc_RNA from 1 species